rnacentral:rRNA from 1 species
GACGAACGCUGGCGGCGUGCUUAACACAUGCAAGUCGAACGAUGAAACCUAGCUUGCUAGGUCGAUUAGUGGCGAACGGGUGAGUAACACGUGACUAACCUGCCCCUUUCUCUGGGAUAACGCUCCGAAAGGAGUGCUAAUACCGGAUACUCACAUCGAGGCACAUGCCUUGGUGUGGAAAGUUUUUCGGAAAGGGAUGGAGUCGCGGCCUAUCAGCUUGUCGGUGAGGUAACGGCUCACCAAGGCGACGACGGGUAGCCGGCCUGGGAGGGGGACCGGCCACACUGGGACUGAGACACGGCCCAGGCUCCUACGGGAGGCAGCAGUGGGGAAGAUUGAACAGUGGGCGCAAGCCUGAUGCAGCGACGCCGCGUGAGGGAUGAAGGUCUUCGGAUUGUAAACCUCUUUCAGUAGGGACGAAGCGAAAGUGACGGUACCUAAAGAAGAAGCACCGGCUAACUACGUGCCAGCAGCCGCCGCAG